UACGGGGGGGGCAAGCGUUGUUCGGAAUUACUGGGCGUAAAGGGCGCGUAGGCGGCCUGCUAAGUCGGACGUGAAAUCCCUCGGCUCAACCGGGGAACUGCGUCCGAUACUGGCGAGGCUUGAAUCCGGGAGAGGAGAGUGGAAUUCCCGGUGUAGCGGUGAAAUGCGCAGAUAUCGGGAAGAACACCAAUGGCGAAGGCAGCUCGCUGGGACGGUACUGACGCUGAGACGCGAAAGCGUGGGGAGCAAACAGGG
rnacentral:rRNA from 1 species